ACCUUGAUUUUAACCCGGAGAAACCUAUCAAACCCAAAUCAUUUCUGCCUUGACGAUUCAAAGUAUGCUUUACUCUCAAACGCUGGACGCAAAGCUAAACGAUGUUCUGUGCUGAAGAAAGUUUAAACAAAGGGAAUUUAAUCUACGAAGUAAAUUUGAUCUACCGGCAUAUUCCCAAGGCUACUUAUUACUGUACACGUGUGUAGAAAUAAGGGUGCAAGACUGAGUACAAGACAGAACGUUAAUUAAGAGCUAAAUUAAAAGUACCAGGGAAAUUCGGUAAAGGGAGAACGCAGUUUGUCCUGGAAUCAGCAAGGAAGCUCUCGAAGAGCUCACAGGGAAACAUUCUGACCCUGCCCACCUGUGAAUGGCUGCAAGAAAGAAGAAAUUAACACAUCCCCUCCCUGAGGCUGGCCAAACCAGGAGAUGUUUUGCAAGACUUAUGGCCUUUGUACUUUACCUCCUCACCUCCUCCCCCUCUCUGCCCUAUAAAAGAAACUAGCAUCCAGACCCCUAUAAGAUGGUACUCUAGGAUGCUAGUCUGACAUCUUCUUGGAUACCUGGCUUCCCCAAUAAAGUCACUAUUCCUUGCCUCAA